rnacentral:tRNA from 1 species
GGAAUGGUAGCUCGGCGGCAGAGCAUCGUGAGGGCGCGCAUGGGUUGGAGCAGCGGCAAUUGCCAAGGCACCAUGGUCGGAGCGUACACGAAGGUCGCCGGUUCGAAUCCGGUCCGUUCCC